CCCGGAGAACUCGGCCCCAGGGCGCCGCCUAGAGGUCGGUCGCGGCCUCGGCCUUGCCGGCUACCGCCGAGCUAGCUGCCUCCCCCAGCUGCCCCAGAAAUUGCAAACAAAACAAAAAAUUCCAAGCUUGAGCCAGAGGCUGGCUUGUGGCACCUCUGACUUCUCCGUAACGGCCUCUCCUCUGCCCCAUAAGAAACGUCAGCAAGGAGACGGGCCAGGAAGGCUCAGACACACUUAUUCUUUGGGCCCUCAGGGGAAGAGGGGCUCAAUUCCUGUUUCUUUCAGGACCUGUGUUCUGCGCUGCCUCUUCUCAUCCGUCUAAACUGUCCAGGCCCCUGCGGGGGUGCUAGAACUGCUUCCUUUUCAAGGAAGAAGAGUAGCCAGAAGUCCCUGAACCCUGGAGUUUGGCCACCGAUUUUCUAAUUUGGAGUUGGACAUGUUUUUGGAGGAGUGUUUGGAAAACGUCGGAAUUUGAAAGUUGGCUUCUCUGGGACCAGGUGACCUUGAAUGGAAACAGUGGCAUCGGUAGAGAGGGUGUGAGGAGUCCUUUGGCUCUGUGCAGACUUUUGAUUUUUCAGACUGAGCCAUGGCCCGGGCUCUGGGACGGCACAAAGCCCUUAAAAAUGCCUGCCAAGUGUGUGCACGUGCACAGACAGGUGGCCUCUCAGACUGUCACCUGUGGGACAAGGCAGGAGGGACGGGGGUGACCUGGAUGGACAGGGCCCUGAGGAAGCAGAGGCCCUUCUCGGGCUGUUGCUGUCCCCAAUCGGUCAGCACCAGGUCACCCCAGCCCUGGUGACAGCCCGGUCUUCAAGCCAGGAAUCUUGUAGGAAGAGUUUGACCUCUCAGAGCCACCCUGGGAG